UCCGCGGCUUGAUUUUGUAUUUGAUAUUUUUUUAGGAUUUUGAUUUAAUGGAUGCUUUCUUGGAUUGUUGUCUUUCGUUUUGCAGGAAAAGUGUGGUUGAAAGGCGCUACUCCUCUAUUUUGAAUACACAGCUGGGGUAAUCUUUUGUCUCACUUUGAAUUCCUCAUCAUUAUUUCUUAGACGUAUGUAGGAUAUAUUGAUGAUUAUGAGAGUUUUGCAUCUCUUGAUGUUGUACAGGUGCUUCUCUUCUACUCCGAAAAUAGCUUUAUAUUUUCAUUUGAUUUUUUUUUAUGGUUUCGGUUUUUAUAAAGAAAAUAUGACAUGAAACAUUCAAAUCAUGCCGUCCAGAUCCUCUGUCGAUCUUUUGGCGCACUUUUUGAUCAAAUGAUUUAAGUUUUGGUAAGCAAUAGUAGUCAUCUACCGGUGGCUGAAACGAAAUGGAGAGCUUUUGAUAAUAGGUGUCGGGUUUGUGUUGUUAUGCUGUUAACGAGAUGGGGAGCUUUCUUCCGGUGGAGUUCCUAGUACAAGUUUGCCAGCUGUUUUUGGUUAGCCCGUCAGGUGAGAUGGGGAGAUGCGGAUGUGCCGGAGUUAAAUACGUCAGGAGAGAGAGAAGAAAGAGAAAAGAAGGCAACGAAAUUACAGGCUAAGAAAGGAAAGAUGGAGGGAAAAAGAGAGAGAUACUUCAUAAGGAUUCAAAUGGAAGAGGGGUUGAUACUCCAGUAGGUGCAUAUAGGAAUAUCGAGGAGUACUUUCAGGAAAAUUGGAAAUCAUUUAGACGAACUAGAGUUUUCAAAUUUGGUUUCUCAGAUCGCUUCUCUGAGUUCUGACACCGGGUUACAUUGGCGAUAAGGGUUAUUUUAUUAAUUUUGUACGUAACAUUUUAAAGGUGGUACAUGCAUUAUACGCCGAAAUCAUAGCUGAAGAAAUUUGAUUCAUUUAGAAGGAGUAUAACUGUCGUAUCUUCUUCCUACUGAAUCAUGUAGGCUGGAUUCACUAUUUUUGUCGUACAAGUAUCAAUUCAUGUAUACUGAUUAGGACUGGUGUUUUUUACCUACAAAUCUUGAAAUUGUAGAUUUCUAGAGAUCCCCAUAAGAAAUUUACAUUAAGAAAAUAGAAGUUUGCACUAUUUUUUCCCGUGAGUUUGUUCACGUAAAUAAAACAGAAGUUUGCACUAUUUUUUCCUGUGAGUUUGUUCACGUAAACGGGAAAAAUCCCAAUGUUACUCAAUCAAGGUAUACACCAUGCUAUGAUGCACAUGGUUAACUUUUUCAAGUGUCAUUAAUUUGUGUUGUUUUACAUUUAAAGAUUUAGGGAUCUCUUUGUUCAAUAUCGUACAAUUUAAUGACUAACAGAGUAUGUUUUUUUGUUAUCGUUUUUCAGGUAUAAUUUGAUGGCUAAUAGAGUAUUGUUACUGUUAACUAUGGCUUCUAGGGGCGACCCUAAUACAUCUUUGGAAAAUUUGAGAAAAAUACGGGUUAGUGCACAUGCAUUGAUGAAUCAAACAAACUACAGGUUUUUAUUUUGGAGUGAUGGAGGCAUGAAGCUUCUAAUGAAGAACAUGAUUUAAGAACAAGACCUAGAUUCAACACGACCCUUUCCCUGUCGACCAACUUCAAGUAAUUUCCUCCAAAACCAUGAUGAUUUCUAUUCGUUGACUACUUUGUGUUUUUUGAAAGUCAUAAUCCUUGGUGAUAGCAGUUUAGCUCUCUAUAUCACCCCCAUUUGAUCAGUCUUUUAUAUCCCUAAUGAUUCUUCAUUUUUCAGUAUUUAUUUUGAUUCUAAUUUACAUGUUGUUUUAUUGAUAGGGUCGGGAAGACAUCUUUGAUGAAUCAAUAUCCUUUUUUUUCCCUUAUUAAAUUGUAAUUAUUCAAUUCAUUCUUAUAAGUUUUAAAGUUAGAAAUUAUUUUUGAAUUAUGAUUGGAGAUGAAUCUUUCACUGUUGUUUCUUUAACGGGAUUGUGUUUAGCUAUGUGAAUUGCAAAUUUAGUAAUCAGUAUCAAGCUACUACUGGAGCAGAUUUCUUGACCAAAGAGUCGAAUUUGAAGAUAGGUUGUUCACAUCGCAGGUACUGAAUCAUUUUUUUUCUUGGCUAAUUUUUGAUGCUAUAUUGCAGGUGUAAAUCAAUUAUGUCUUUUUAUGCAUACGAAUUCAUUAUUUUCUUUUGAUGGUUGAUUCAUUGGACAUGAAUUAUAAGGGCAAAUACCUGAUUUGCAUGUUUAAUGCAAGAUAGACAGAAUAAAUCUCUAGCUAUGUUAACAAUAUGGAUUUGAGAGUGGUGUAGUGUGAUUUAAAUCUGUUCUAAAGUGAAAAAUUGAAACAAAUCAGGGGUUUGUACAUUCUGUGAUUUGAUUUGUAACCUAAUCUUAAUUUUUCUUUAUGCAAAAUCAAAGUGCUAUGUCCGUGUUUGCUCAA